rnacentral:rRNA from 1 species
UGGACCCGGUGAAUCAUCCACGUUCUCGCUGGUGCACUUUGCCGGGCUCAGGCCAGCAUCAGUUUGCCUUGGGGGAUAAAGGCUUUGGGAACGUGGCUCCCUCGGGAGUGUUAUAGCCCAUUGCACAAUCCCUGGGGCGGACUGAGGUUCGCGCAUCUGCAAGGAUGCUGGCGUAAUGGUCAUCAGCG